rnacentral:rRNA from 1 species
UUAAAUUGAAGAGUUUGAUCAUGGCUCAGAUUGAACGCUGGCGGCAGGCCUAACACAUGCAAGUCGAACGGUAACAGGAAGCAGCUUGCUGNUUUUGCUGACGAGUGGCGGACGGGUGAGUAAUGUCUGGGAAACUGCCUGAUGGAGGGGGAUAACUACUGGAAACGGUAGCUAAUACCGCAUAACGUCGCAAGACCAAAGAGGGGGACCUUAGGGCCUCUUGCCAUCGGAUGUGCCCAGAUGGGAUUAGCUAGUAGGUGGGGUAACGGCUCACCUAGGCGACGAUCCCUAGCUGGUCUGAGAGGAUGACCAGCCACACUGGAACUGAGACACGGUCCAGACUCCUACGGGAGGCAGCAGUGGGGAAUAUUGCACAAUGGGCGCAAGCCUGAUGCAGCCAUGCCGCGUGUAUGAAGAAGGCCUUCGGGUUGUAAAGUACUUUCAGCGGGGAGGAAGGGAGUAAAGUUAAUACCUUUGCUCAUUGACGUUACCCGCAGAAGAAGCACCGGCUAACUCCGUGCCAGCAGCCGCGGUAAUACGGAGGGUGCAAGCGUUAAUCGGAAUUACUGGGCGUAAAGCGCACGCAGGCGGUUUGUUAAGUCAGAUGUGAAAUCCCCGGGCUCAACCUGGGAACUGCAUCUGAUACUGGCAAGCUUGAGUCUCGUAGAGGGGGGUAGAAUUCCAGGUGUAGCGGUGAAAUGCGUAGAGAUCUGGAGGAAUACCGGUGGCGAAGGCGGCCCCCUGGACGAAGACUGACGCUCAGGUGCGAAAGCGUGGGGAGCAAACAGGAUUAGAUACCCUGGUAGUCCACGCCGUAAACGAUGUCGACUUGGAGGUUGUGCCCUUGAGGCGUGGCUUCCGGAGCUAACGCGUUAAGUCGACCGCCUGGGGAGUACGGCCGCAAGGUUAAAACUCAAAUGAAUUGACGGGGGCCCGCACAAGCGGUGGAGCAUGUGGUUUAAUUCGAUGCAACGCGAAGAACCUUACCUGGUCUUGACAUCCACGGAAGUUUUCAGAGAUGAGAAUGUGCCUUCGGGAACCGUGAGACAGGUGCUGCAUGGCUGUCGUCAGCUCGUGUUGUGAAAUGUUGGGUUAAGUCCCGCAACGAGCGCAACCCUUAUCCUUUGUUGCCAGCGGUCCGGCCGGGAACUCAAAGGAGACUGCCAGUGAUAAACUGGAGGAAGGUGGGGAUGACGUCAAGUCAUCAUGGCCCUUACGACCAGGGCUACACACGUGCUACAAUGGCGCAUACAAAGAGAAGCGACCUCGCGAGAGCAAGCGGACCUCAUAAAGUGCGUCGUAGUCCGGAUUGGAGUCUGCAACUCGACUCCAUGAAGUCGGAAUCGCUAGUAAUCGUGGAUCAGAAUGCCACGGUGAAUACGUUCCCGGGCCUUGUACACACCGCCCGUCACACCAUGGGAGUGGGUUGCAAAAGAAGUAGGUAGCUUAACCUUCGGGAGGGCGCUUACCACUUUGUGAUUCAUGACUGGGGUGAAGUCGUAACAAGGUAACCGUAGGGGAACCUGCGGUUGGAUCACCUCCUUACCUUAAAGAAGC